rnacentral:rRNA from 1 species
GGAGGAGGCAAGCGUUGUCCGGAAUCAUUGGGCGUAAAGAGCGCGUAGGCUGGUUUUCAAGUCAUUUGUGAAAACCUCAGGGCUUAACUUGAGGACUGCAUAUGAAACUGGAAAACUUGAGUGCAGUAGGGGAAAGUGGAAUUCCUGGUGUAGCGGUGAAAUGCGCAGAUAUCAGGAAGAACACCGGUAGCGAAGGCGGCUUUCUGGGCUGCUAUUGACGCUGAGGCGCGAAAGCUAGGGGAGCAAACAGGAUUAGAUACCCUGGUAGUCCUAGCUGUAAACGGUGGACACUAGGUGUGGGGAGUUAUCGACGCUUUCCGUGCCGGAGCUAACGCAUUAAGUGUCCCGCCUGGGGAGUACGGUCGCAAGACUA